UACGUAGGGUGCGAGCGUUAAUCGGAAUUACUGGGCGUAAAGCGUGCGUAGGCGGUCUGUUAAGACCGAUGUGAAAUCCCCGGGCUUAACCUGGGAACUGCAUUGGUGACUGGCAGGCUUUGAGUGUGGCAGAGGGAGGUAGAAUUCCACGUGUAGCAGUGAAAUGCGUAGAGAUGUGGAGGAAUACCGAUGGCGAAGGCAGCCUCCUGGGCCAACACUGACGCUCAUGCACGAAAGCGUGGGGAGCAAACAGG
rnacentral:rRNA from 1 species